rnacentral:rRNA from 1 species
GGGGAAUAUUGGACAAUGGGGGCAACCCUGAUCCAGCAAUGCCGCGUGAGUGAUGAAGGCCUUAGGGUUGUAAAGCUCUUUUACCAGGGAUGAUAAUGACAGUACCUGGAGAAUAAGCUCCGGCUAACUCCGUGCCAGCAGCCGCGGUAAUACGGAGGGAGCUAGCGUUGUUCGGAAUUACUGGGCGUAAAGCGCACGUAGGCGGUUACUCAAGUCAGAGGUGAAAGCCCGGGGCUCAACCCCGGAACUGCCUUUGAAACUAGGUAACUAGAAUCCUGGAGAGGUGAGUGGAAUUCCGAGUGUAGAGGUGAAAUUCGUAGAUAUUCGGAAGAACACCAGUGGCGAAGGCGACUUACUGGACACAUAUUGACGCUGAGGUGCGAAAGCGUGGGGAGCAAA